rnacentral:lncRNA from 1 species
UCCAGGCUUUGCCCAGGAUGAGAACUCCUUGGUGGCUCUGUUCCAUGGAUCUUGCUCACGUGGGGACCCAAAUUCCACGAGCUGUGUUCCUGCUGCGUGAGCUGAGCCGCGAUGUCUGUGCGUGCCCUGGGCUGGUGUUAAACAGCUCUGCAGCCUCCUCGGCCAGCAGGUUCUGCUGGCCCUUUCUUGCACUCUGCUCCCCUGUCCCUGCAGCUGAGCUGACUUCCUGGGGAGCUGCACAGAGCUUUCUCCAGGUGCCCACAUGAGGAGAUUCAUUCACUUUGCAGUUGGAGCGAGUUUUCUCUCGAGGACCAUCAUUUUAUCCAUGUUUGGGAAAUAUCCAUCACUGCUGGGGGAAAGGGACUUCUCCUCCUGAGUGAAGACUGUGGGAUCUGACUUGAAGCAAGACAAGAGAAGCAAAGCCUCUGUGUGAACGUGGCAGAAUAGAAAAAAAGUCAUGUACAAAGCAAGGGGAAGAAUUCAGGCUGGUUUCAACUCAGGAUCAAACCCUUUAUAACGCUGGACUGAGGUGAGCUGGAACCAAUCCCUGCUCUGGCGAGCAGAGUGGGGCAGGGAUGAAGCUGGAAAGGACUGAGAUGCACAUGAUGCUUUUCCCAAGUUGUGUUACAGUUUGGGGGAGCUUUCAGAUUUGUGCCUUUAAACUGAAAGACUGAGAAGACAAAUCAAUUAUCCGAGAAAAGAAUGUGGAUAUUGCUGGAGGGAGGGAAGGCUCAGGCUCAGGGCAGCUGUGGAGUUUCCUUGGGGUUCCUUGAGCUGUGCAGGAGCAGCCUGUGGCUCCAGUUUGGUGCUCCCAUCUUUAAACCAUCAGUUAACAAAUGCAUUUCCUCCCUAGGGGGGUCUGUUUCCUCAUCCUACUGCUUUUCCAGAAUCCACAGUGUAUGUUCCUGCAGGAAUGCUCAGCCCUCGUCCUGCCCAGGCGGGCGCAUCCAGCCCAGGGUGUUCUCUGGCUCCAGUUUAAAUCCUGCAAUCCCUGUCAGCCGUGGGCUCGCUCACUCUGAGCCCUCUCUCUUGCCUGGCUCAUUUUGGGAACGCAACGCUGAGCAUCCCUGGAUCGGGAUGCCCAAGGCAAAGGGUUUCCAUCCCUGAAUUCACAUUGUUCAUGGCUCUGCCCAGGCCAGAGGGGAGAAUAGCUGAGCUGUUUACAAUAUUGUUUCAUAGACUGCUCAAAAGCAGCGCCUGUUUUCCAGAAGUGCAAUGAAACAUUUAUGAGUACGGGACGUGGUGCAGCUCCGGAGCUCUGCAGGGGACAAGGGACAGUCGGGGUGUUUGAUGUGCACAUCCCAGCUUAUGUGGGCUGUUGGCAAAGGAAUGAGCAGGACACAUUAUCUCAUUUUCACUCCCCUCUUCCAAGGUGCUGAUCCCUCAGGUACCCUGGUUUGAGGGUGAGCAGAGCUCAUAUCCCAAGCCCAGGGCAUGUGAGGUGCUGCGCUGCUCUGCUCUCCAGCUUUGCCUGGCUCUCUCUGUUUCUGUAUGCUGCAUAAAUCCUGGUAUAAAUCUAUGGAGCUGCAAAAGUCCUGUGCCUUCCCUGGAGUCCCUCAGGACAAGAUGAAACAGCCUCAAGUUGCACCAGGGAAGGUUUAGAUUGGAUAUUAGGAAAUUUUUUUUCACAGAAAGGUUUGUCAAGCAUUGGAACAGACUGCCUGGGGCAGUGGUGGAGUCAUCAUCUCUGGAAAUGUUCAAAAAAUAUGUGGAUGUGGCACUCAAGGACAGGGUUUGGUGGUGAACAUGAUGGUGCUGAUAGACUGAUGGUUGAACCUGAUCUUGGAGGUCUUUUCCAGCCUUAAGAACUCCCCAGUUCUCUGCGAUUUUAGGAUUUACGUCAGUGAAGAAAUAGACAAAGCAAAGCUGGAUUCUAGGAUUCUAAACCUUUGCUAAUCCAUGUUAACCAUAUUAAAUCUGGACAUUUAUUAGAAAGAAGCAGGUUCUUCCCUCUGUGCAGAAGAGAGGUCAUUUAUCCAUCCUUGUAUAGCUCCCUUUUGGUUAUUUCCAGUGCUCCAGCCUUUUUCUCGUGCUGAAGUUACAGCAAACCCUUCUGAAUAAUAACCUGUUCUUUUCCCAGCACAGGAUCACUCCAAAACUCCUUCAGAUUGUUAAAUAUAUGUAUUUUAGACAGAUAGACACUCUAACCAGAAUUCUACCCUGGCUGUAGCUAAAUGUGGGGAUGAAUUUGAGUUUUACUGUGAUAUCUGUGAUUGUUUCCCUGUAUCUCUGGCAUGAGGGAUCCCAUUGUACUUACCAAGUACAUUGUGCAUCCAAGAUGUCUCAGCUUUUAUGUGAUUUUGUCUACAUUUCUCAGGAUUUAAUAUUUGAGGUUCCUUCUAGGGAUGUAUCAAAGGAAAAGCUGGAUUUGAACUCCAUUCAGAAAGUUUUCACAUAUCCAGAAUUAGUGCUUAUAAAAGUGAUUUGGUUCUGUGGAAGAUGUUUUAUGAAUCUCCUGGAAAAUGGGGGGUUUUGUCCCACUGAGCAGAGCCUGGGCUGGGAGUGGGACCUGAGCAGGGCUGUGGUUUAACAUCCUCCCCACUCACCCAGGGACAUCCAGCCUAAACCCUUCCUUCCUGCCCAAAGUGGAAUUAUCAUUAACUCGUAAUUAGUUUUCAAGAACAGUUUUUUGGUUGUUUUUUUUUUUUUUUUGGUAGGCUGUGGAGUUCUUCCAAGAAUUUUUCAAUUUUUACAAAUGAAAAUAUAAGCUCAACCAGAUGCCAGUUAAAAUGCAGUUCCUUUCUACCAGCCAGCCCAGGCACCACAGGCUCAGCAUCACGACCUUUAAACAGCUUUUCUAGAACAAGCUGGGAGAACACUUUCUAAAAAGCCACAAUUGCAGCUGCUCUCAUUACUCAUAACAUCCCUGAUGGAGAGGAACUUAAAUAUAAUUCUUAAGGAACUUAAGCUUCAACAGCCCCCAGUAGACUUAGUUUAUGUGCAGAGCAGGCUUCCCUCGUGGAAUUACAGACUCGGGAUGGUGAUUAUAGUGUUGAUGAUAAUGUACAUUUUCUAAAUCAUUACUUCUGUAAGAAUAAAAUAAAAUAAAAUAAAAGGAGUGAAGUCUUU